CGACGACGCCUCCAGACACGUCCUCUCUCUCUCUCACGGUUUAACGUCGCCGUUGUUCAUCGCGCUUCGCCGCACCUGCUGCACGAAGCUUAAUUGUUGAUUCGAGUAUGGAUUUGGAGGGAGGUGCUGGUUUUGGGGCUGGCGCCGUCUUCCGAGUACACAUUUUUGGUGUAUGCUUCUCCAGCUGGAAACUAUUUCAAGGAAGAGACUGUGCCGAUCAGCUUGUACGUUGAGGAUGAGUUCCAUCGCGCUGGCCGCGAUGGUUCUGGAGGUGUGAAGAGCGUCACGAAUUAUGUGCCGGUGAGGUCAUGAACCGCUAGUAAUCAUGGAGAGCAAGGACUACCAAGCAAGCCACUAUGCCACUCAGGGCGAUGAGCAGACGUUGCUCCAGCGCCUGCAUCAAGAGCUUUACAAUCUCAAGUUUCUAAUCGUGGAUCGCGCACGCUUUGCCGGAUAAGGAGAACGAAAGUCGGAUUCUUCUCACCACUAGGCUUCGGGAGGUCACUGAUAAAAUUUCUGAAAAUUCUAGUUUACUUCAUGAGAUGCAGCCGCUCGGGCUGGAGCACAGCUGGCAGUUGCUCUGUUAUCUUACCUUCGGUGAUAUGCUGAAAAAUGAUAAUGAUGAUGUUACAUUGCCCUUCUCACUUGAAGGAAAUUGGAAGAUCGAUCGCCGAGAAAUGUAAAGGUCUUCCUCUGUCACUGGUUGUGGUUGGUGGUCUUCUCAUUCAGGAGACAGAAAAGAUACUGCUGAUGCUGCUGCAAUGGGGGAAGGUUCCUACUUGGAGAUCUUGGCUAUAGAGCUACCUUUACUUGCCCGCUAGACUUCAAGGUUGUUUCCUUUACCUGGGUGCAUUCCCGGAAGAUUGUGAGUUACAUGCCUCUAAACUCAUCGAACUUUGGGUUGGUGAAGGCUUCUUCCUAAAACCUGGACUACCCACACAAACCAUGGACAACUAUUGUGGUUUCUGACUUUUGAACUUAGCAGUAUGUAAUAUAUAUGAAAUGUCAAUAAGUUCAACAACUUGUAUUGAAAUGUCAACAACGCAAAAACAAUUCUUAUAAUUAAAAAA